UUGACAGCACUAGAGACAAAUGACCUCUCUGUAUCCACAGAGCAGGUUCACCAUGGUCAGGGGCAGCAGCAAGGCAACCCUUGCCUCCCAGCCCACACUGCCCUCAAGCACUGCUCACCUGCUCUUGGAGAGACUCCCUUCAGGGGGGAAGGGAGGGAGUCCAGGUUCCAGUAAAGAGGGUCA
rnacentral:sRNA from 1 species